rnacentral:miRNA from 1 species
AAAAAAAUUGCCGCAAAAAUCGCCAAAAAAAUCUGAAAAUCUGCCAAAAUCUUUAGAUUUUUGGGCGAUUUUUGCGGCGAUUUUCCUGUGAAUUCCGACCACAAAACCGGCUAAUUUUGAGUGGUAAUUGAAGAGGGCAUUGUAUGCUUUCCAAUGGUAUCAAAAUCUGGCAAAAUUGAUGGUCGGAAGUUGCCGAAAAGUUGCCGCAAAAGCCGCCCAAAAAACUAAAAAAUUUGCCCAGAUUUUUGCCUUUCCGGGUAGCCAAUUUUGUGAGUUUAUUC